GCACUUGGAAGGUGGAAACAGGAGGAUUAU
rnacentral:piRNA from 1 species